AAGCGCCGGUAAGGUGAUAUGAACCGUUAUAACCGGCGAUUUCCGAAUGGGGAAACCCAGUGUGAUUCGUCACACUAUCAUUAACUGAAUCCAUAGGUUAAUGAGGCGAACCGGGGGAACUGAAACAUCUAAGUACCCCGAGGAAAAGAAAUCAACCGAGAUUCCCCCAGUAGCGGCGAGCGAACGGGGAGGAGCCCAGAGCCUGAAUCAGCAUGUGUGUUAGUGGAAGCGUCUGGAAAGGCGCGCGAUACAGGGUGACAGCCCCGUACACAAAAGCGCAUGUGCUGUGAGCUCGAUGAGUAGGGCGGGACACGUGGUAUCCUGUCUGAAUAUGGGGGGACCAUCCUCCAAGGCUAAAUACUCCUGACUGACCGAUAGUGAACCAGUACCGUGAGGGAAAGGCGAAAAGAACCCCGGCGAGGGGAGUGAAAAAGAACCUGAAACCGUGUACGUACAAGCAGUGGGAGCACAGGUUUACCUGUGUGACUGCGUACCUUUUGUAUAAUGGGUCAGCGACUUAUAUUCUGUAGCAAG
rnacentral:rRNA from 1 species